rnacentral:rRNA from 1 species
ACGGAGGGUGCAAGCGUUGUUCGGAAUUAUUGGGCGUAAAGGGCGUGUAGGUGGCUUUCCAAGUCUGGUGUGAAAUCCCACGGCUCAACCGUGGAACUGCAUUGGAAACUGGUGAGCUCGAGUGUUGGAGGGGGUCGCGGAAUUCCCGGUGUAGAGGUGAAAUUCGUAGAUAUCGGGAGGAACACCAGUGGCGAAGGCGGCGACCUGGCCAAUCACUGACACUGAGACGCGAAAGCGUGGGGAGCAAACAAGA